GGAUGCGUGAGUGCGCAUCCUCCACAACACAAGGGAUCGUCUGGGUACUCCCUGCCUGGGCGGUCCUUUU
rnacentral:sRNA from 12 species